rnacentral:rRNA from 1 species
AACGAACGCUGGCGGCAUGCCUAACACAUGCAAGUCGAACGAGACCUUCGGGUCUAGUGGCGCACGGGUGCGUAACGCGUGGGAACCUGCCCUUAGGUUCGGAAUAACUCAGAGAAAUUUGAGCUAAUACCGGAUAAUGUCUUCGGACCAAAGAUUUAUCGCCUUUGGAUGGGCCCGCGUAAGAUUAGGUAGUUGGUGGGGUAAAGGCCUACCAAGCCGACGAUCUCUAGCUGGUCUGAGAGGAUGAUCAGCCGCACUGGGACUGAGACACGGCCCAGACUCCUACGGGAGGCAGCAGUGGGGAAUAUUGGACAAUGGGCGAAAGCCUGAUCCAGCAAUGCCGCGUGAGUGAUGAAGGCCUUAGGGUUGUAAAGCUCUUUUACCAGGGAUGAUAAUGACAGUACCUGGAGAAUAAGCUCCGGCUAACUCCGUGCCAGCCGCCGCCGUAAAAC